rnacentral:misc_RNA from 1 species
UUAGAGUUAAGGUUGAAUUGGGGGCAUUAGUCACUCCUUUGGUGUAGAUGAUAGCCUUGAUAUAGGGUUUUUAUACGUCAUUAUGAAUUUAUAUUACCAUUUUUCUCUUAGUUAAAAUUUGUUUUAGUAAUUAAUUAUUUGUUAUAUUUUCAGUGUAUGUUGCACUUUGUAAUUAUUUUAGCUUUUGCAUUCUUUGAUAGUGUUGUCGUCCUUUUUGUUGGGCUUUGAUUCCUUUUUGUUUGUGUGAUCUUAACUCUUCAAUUUUCAAGUGUAAUUUAAAUAGGUUUAGUUUCCAUUAAUUGAAUUAUUUUGAUAUGGUGAAAUUAUUUGAGCAUUAGUGUAAUUGUUUUAAAUCUUCCAAUGAGUAAUGUGAG